rnacentral:rRNA from 1 species
UACAGAGGGUGCGAGCGUUGUCCGGAAUCACUGGGCGUAAAGGGCGCGUAGGCGGUCUGGUAAGCGUGUGGUGAAAGCUCGGGGCUCAACCCCGAGUCGGCCGUGCGAACUGCGAGACUGGAGCAGAUCAGAGGCAGGUGGAAUUCCGGGUGUAGCGGUGGAAUGCGUAGAGAUCCGGAAGAACACCGGUGGCGAAGGCGGCCUGCUGGGCAGUAGCUGACGCUGAGGCGCGACAGCGUGGGGAGCAAACAGG